GAAGACAAAGCUGCGGUAUGUGAAGAGGACAAGUCCAGGAAAGUCCGCCAUGGAACAAAUGGUAUGCGAACUUCAAUGGGAGCACGUCAUUUCAGAAGAAGCGUUGAGUUCAGACAGUUUAGAGGAGGUACAGUUGAGAGGACUUCUCAAUGCAAGAGGAAGUAAGUAAAGACCUCUACUUCCUGUUGGUAAGUGCUGAAACUUCUUGUAGCAGUUAGGUUGCCUAAGACCACUUCUGCUUAGCAUACAGGCCAUUUAUACGGCUUCCGGAUUGUGAUCUGAAAGGUUUUCCUUUCAAUGCACACAAGGUUUCUACUCUGGAUCAGCUAAGGAAGACAUUUGAAAUUGUGGUUUCCCUUUGUCUCCAGGUAAUGAGAUUAUUAAACUCCUUUAUUCUAAAUGGAUAGACCGUUACUUUCCAUCCAGAACCAGUUUAAAACAAAACAGAAAACCUAUUUGAACCAAGAAACAUGCAUUCAGCUGCGAAUCCUAGAUGGCAAUUUUCCAAAUACAUUAUUGUAGUACUAAUCUCCUGUCUCCUAUUAAACUGGGAGAUUUGUAAUAAACUAAUUUCUAAUAAAAUUAUUACCUUUUUGAUUCCAUUACAAAUUGAACUGACUGAUGCCAUUCUUAUUAACAUUGUUGGUUUGACGUACAAGACAUUUGGCUAUGGUACUGUUGAAGAAUGAGACUUGAGAAGACGUCAAGGAAAGCUAUACCAGAGAAGACAAAGACCUACAGUGCAGCCACCCAUAAAGUAGAAAGCACUACUAGACAGGUCUGAACGCUGUAGUGUUUCCUACUUUAUGGAUGAGUGUACUGGACGCUACAGGACAACAUCUGGACAAGGCAAAAUCUGCAUCAUGAGUGUG